GAUGAACGCUGGCGGCGUGCCUAAUACAUGCAAGUAGAACGCUGAAGGAGGAGCUUGCUCUUCUGGAUGAGUUGCGAACGGGUGAGUAACGCGUAGGUAACCUGCCUGGUAGCGGGGGAUAACUAUUGGAAACGAUAGCUAAUACCGCAUGACAACAGUUAUUGCAUGAUAACUGUUUAAAAGGGGCAACUGCUCCACUACCAGAUGGACCUGCGUUGUAUUAGCUAGUUGGUGAGGUAACGGCUCACCAAGGCGACGAUACAUAGCCGACCUGAGAGGGUGAUCGGCCACACUGGGACUGAGACACGGCCCAGACUCCUGCGGGAGGCAGCAGUAGGGAAUCUUCGGCAAUGGACGGAAGUCUGACCGAGCAACGCCGCGUGAGUGAAGAAGGUUUUCGGAUCGUAAAGCUCUGUUGUAAGAGAAGAACGAGUGUGAGAGUGGAAAGUUCACACUGUGACGGUAUCUUACCAGAAAGGGACGGCUAACUACGUG
rnacentral:rRNA from 1 species